rnacentral:snRNA from 1 species
UGAAUUGCUGCUCACUUCAGUAUUGUUCACCUGUAACAAUAUAGAGAAGAUUAGCAUGGCCCCUGCAUAAGGGUGAAUGCAGUAAAUCAUAGUUAAAAGACACCAUU